rnacentral:miRNA from 1 species
GACACGGGCGACAGCUGCGGCCC